UACGUAGGGUGCGAGCGUUAAUCGGAAUUACUGGGCGUAAAGCGUGCGCAGGCGGCUUUGCAAGACAGGUGUGAAAUCCCCGGGCCUAACCUGGGAACUGCAUUUGUGACUGCAUGGCUAGAGUUUGUCAGAGGGGGGGUGGAAUUCCACGUGUAGCAGUGAAAUGCGUAGAUAUGUGGAGGAACACCGAUGGACGGAAGGCAGCCCCCCUGGGCUAACACGUGACGCUCAUGCACGAAAGCGUGGGGAGCAAACAGG
rnacentral:rRNA from 1 species